UACGUAGGGUGUAAGCGUUAAUCGGAAUUACUGGGCGUAAAGCGUGCGCAGGCGGCUUUGCAAGACAGAUGUGAAAUCCCCGGGCUCAACCUGGGAACUGCAUUUGUGACUGCAUGGCUAGAGUACGGUAGAGGGGGAUGGAAUUCCGCGUGUAGCAGUGAAAUGCGUAGAUAUGCGGAGGAACACCGAUGGCGAAGGCAAUCCCCUGGACCUGUACUGACGCUCAUGCACGAAAGCGUGGGGAGCAAACAGG
rnacentral:rRNA from 1 species